rnacentral:rRNA from 1 species
UACGUAGGGGGCAAGCGUUGUCCGGAAUCAUUGGGCGUAAAGCGCGUGUAGGCGGCCCGAUAAGUCCGCUGUGAAAGUCCAGGGCUCAACCCUGGAAUGCCGGUGGAUACUGUCGGGCUCGAGUCCGGAAGAGGCGAGUGGAAUUCCUGGUGUAGCGGUGAAAUGCGCAGAUAUCAGGAGGAACACCGAUGGCGAAGGCAGCUCGCUGGGACGGUACUGACGCUAAGGCGCGAAAGCGUGGGGAGCAAACAGG